rnacentral:rRNA from 1 species
UGGGGAAUAUUGCACAAUGGGGGAAACCCUGAUGCAGCGACGCCGCGUGAGCGAUGAAGUAUUUCGGUAUGUAAAGCUCUAUCAGCAGGGAAGAAAAUGACGGUACCUGACUAAGAAGCCCCGGCUAACUACGUGCCAGCAGCCGCGGUAAUACGUAGGGGGCAAGCGUUAUCCGGAUUUACUGGGUGUAAAGGGAGCGUAGACGGCUGUGCAAGUCUGAAGUGAAAGGCAUGGGCUCAACCUGUGGACUGCUUUGGAAACUGUGCGGCUAGAGUGUCGGAGAGGUAAGUGGAAUUCCUAGUGUAGCGGUGAAAUGCGUAGAUAUUAGGAGGAACACCAGUGGCGAAGGCGGCUUACUGGACGAUGACUGACGUUGAGGCUCGAAAGCGUGGGGAGCAAACAGGAUUAGAUACC